UCUCAGGUGCAGGAAAUGGAAAGUGUUAUCCAAGCAACUCAGUACCUGGAUGUACUUAGGAGAUGGAAGCUUGCAAGAGACCUGAAUGUGCCUGAGUCCAGAGUGCAGGGUUGGUUUAACAAUCGGAGAGCCAAGUACAGGAAAUAUCAUACGUAAG